GGCAUCGUAGCCCAACAUGGUAGAGGCGUCUGGCUUAGAACCAGAAGGUUGGGAGUUCGAACCUCCCCGAUGCUA
rnacentral:tRNA from 1 species